rnacentral:rRNA from 1 species
GACGAACGCUGGCGGCGCGCUUAACACAUGCAAGUCGAACGGAAAGGCCUGCUUUCCCUUGUGGAUUGCGGGUACUCGAGUGGCGAACGGGUGAGUAACACGUGAGUGAUCUGCCCCCAACUUGGGUAUAAGCCUGGGAAACUGGGUCUAAUUCCCGAUAGCACUGCAGGGUGGUGCCUGUGGUGGAAAACGAUUUUCUUGUGGUUGGGGAUGAGCUCGCGGUCUAUCAGCUUGUUGGUGGGGUAAUGGCCUACCAAGGCGGCGACGGGUAGCCGGCCUGGGAGGGUGGGCGGCCACAUUGGGACUGAGAUACGGCCUAGACUCCUACGGGAGGCAGCCGUGGGGAAUAAUGAACAAUGGGCGGAGGCCUGAUGCAGCGACGCCGCGUGGGGGAUGACGGGCUUCGGGUUGUGAACUCCUUGCGACCGAGAGGAAGCCACCUGGUUGGAAGGGUGGUGACGGUAGUGGUAGAAGAAGCACCGGCUAACUACGUG